CAUAGGUUAAUGAGGCGAACCGGGGGAACUGAAACAUCUAAGUACCCCGAGGAAAAGAAAUCAACCGAGAUUCCCCCAGUAGCGGCGAGCGAACGGGGAGGAGCCCAGAGCCUGAAUCAGUGUGUGUGUUAGUGGAAGCGUCUGGAAAGGCGCGCGAUACAGGGUGACAGCCCCGUACACAAAAAUGCACAUAUUGUGAGCUCGAUGAGUAGGGCGGGACACGUGGUAUCCUGUCUGAAUAUGGGGGGACCAUCCUCCAAGGCUAAAUACUCCUGACUGACCGAUAGUGAACCAGUACCGUGAGGGAAAGGCGAAAAGAACCCCGGCGAGGGGAGUGAAAAAGAACCUGAAACCGUGUACGUACAAGCAGUGGGAGCCUCUUAAUGGGGUGACUGCGUACCUUUUGUAUAAUGGGUCAGCGACUUAUAUUCUGUAGCAAGGUUAACCGAAUAGGGGAGCCGAAGGGAAACCGAGUCUUAACUGGGCGUUAAGUUGCAGGGUAUAGACCCGAAACCCGGUGAUCUAGCCAUGGGCAGGUUGAAGGUUGGGUAACACUAACUGGAGGACCGAACCGACUAAUGUUGAAAAAUUAGCGGAUGACUUGUGGCUGGGGGUGAAAGGCCAAUCAAACCGGGAGAUAGCUGGUUCUCCCCGAAAGCUAUUUAGGUAGCGCCUCGUGAAUUCAUCUCCGGGGGUAGAGCACUGUUUCGGCAAGGGGGUCAUCCCGACUUACCAACCCGAUGCAAACUGCGAAUACCGGAGAAUGUUAUCACGGGAGACACACGGCGGGUGCUAACGUCCGUCGUGAAGAGGGAAACAACCCAGACCGCCAGCUAAGGUCCCAAAGUCAUGGUUAAGUGGGAAACGAUGUGGGAAGGCCCAGACAGCCAGGAUGUUGGCUUAGAAGCAGCCAUCAUUUAAAGAAAGCGUAAUAGCUCACUGGUCGAGUCGGCCUGCGCGGAAGAUGUAACGGGGCUAAACCAUGCACCGAAGCUGCGGCAGCGACACUAUGUGUUGUUGGGUAGGGGAGCGUUCUGUAAGCCUGUGAAGGUGGCCUGUGAGGGUUGCUGGAGGUAUCAGAAGUGCGAAUGCUGACAUAAGUAACGAUAAAGCGGGUGAAAAGCCCGCUCGCCGGAAGACCAAGGGUUCCUGUCCAACGUUAAUCGGGGCAGGGUGAGUCGACCCCUAAGGCGAGGCCGAAAGGCGUAGUCGAUGGGAAACAGGUUAAUAUUCCUGUACUUGGUGUUACUGCGAAGGGGGGACGGAGAAGGCUAUGUUGGCCGGGCGACGGUUGUCCCGGUUUAAGCGUGUAGGCUGGUUUUCCAGGCAAAUCCGGAAAAUCAAGGCUGAGGCGUGAUGACGAGGCACUACGGUGCUGAAGCGACAAAUGCCCUGCUUCCAGGAAAAGCCUCUAAGCAUCAGGUAACAUCAAAUCGUACCCCAAACCGACACAGGUGGUCAGGUAGAGAAUACCAAGGCGCUUGAGAGAACUCGGGUGAAGGAACUAGGCAAAAUGGUGCCGUAACUUCGGGAGAAGGCACGCUGAUAUGUAGGUGAAGCGACUUGCUCGUGGAGCUGAAAUCAGUCGAAGAUACCAGCUGGCUGCAACUGUUUAUUAAAAACACAGCACUGUGCAAACACGAAAGUGGACGUAUACGGUGUGACGCCUGCCCGGUGCCGGAAGGUUAAUUGAUGGGGUUAGCGGUAACGCGAAGCUCUUGAUCGAAGCCCCGGUAAACGGCGGCCGUAACUAUAACGGUCCUAAGGUAGCGAAAUUCCUUGUCGGGUAAGUUCCGACCUGCACGAAUGGCGUAAUGAUGGCCAGGCUGUCUCCACCCGAGACUCAGUGAAAUUGAACUCGCUGUGAAGAUGCAGUGUACCCGCGGCAAGACGGAAAGACCCCGUGAACCUUUACUAUAGCUUGACACUGAACAUUGAGCCUUGAUGUGUAGGAUAGGUGGGAGGCUUUGAAGUGUGGACGCCAGUCUGCAUGGAGCCGACCUUGAAAUACCACCCUUUAAUGUUUGAUGUUCUAACGUGGGCCCCUUACCGGGGUUGCGGACAGUGUCUGGUGGGUAGUUUGACUGGGGCGGUCUCCUCCUAAAGAGUAACGGAGGAGCACGAAGGUUGGCUAAUCCUGGUCGGACAUCAGGAGGUUAGUGCAAUGGCAUAAGCCAGCUUGACUGCGAGCGUGACGGCGCGAGCAGGUGCGAAAGCAGGUCAUAGUGAUCCGGUGGUUCUGAAUGGAAGGGCCAUCGCUCAACGGAUAAAAGGUACUCCGGGGAUAACAGGCUGAUACCGCCCAAGAGUUCAUAUCGACGGCGGUGUUUGGCACCUCGAUGUCGGCUCAUCACAUCCUGGGGCUGAAGUAGGUCCCAAGGGUAUGGCUGUUCGCCAUUUAAAGUGGUACGCGAGCUGGGUUUAGAACGUCGUGAGACAGUUCGGUCCCUAUCUGCCGUGGGCGCUGGAGAACUGAGGGGGGCUGCUCCUAGUACGAGAGGACCGGAGUGGACGCAUCACUGGUGUUCGGGUUGUCAUGCCAAUGGCACUGCCCGGUAGCUAAAUGCGGAAGAGAUAAGUGCUGAAAGCAUCUAAGCACGAAACUUGCCCCGAGAUGAGUUCUCCCUGACUCCUUGAGAGUCCUGAAGGAACGUUGAAGACGACGACGUUGAUAGGCCGGGUGUGUAAGCGCAGCGAUGCGUUGAGCUAA
rnacentral:rRNA from 1 species